UGAUAGAAUACUACGGUAAGAAAUCUUUAUCACUAUAUGCUAUCCAUUGAAACCAUUAUGUAUCCACUAGGUGUGGUUUGUUGCAUUGUUGAACUUCAAUCAUCAUGGUGUUUCUCAUAAAUCAUCUCUAUAAACAAACCAUUAAGAGCUAAAGAGAAGUUUAUUGAAGUGGAUGGAAGUAAACUUCAAGGAUGUUGAAACAUUGUGUAGAAGAGAUAUAGACAAGUAAUAGCAAAAAAAGGGGGGGGGAAUGGGAUACUGAAAAAUUUAUGCUAUUCAAUACUUGUGUGCGAGAGAAAUGAGUUAGAAAAUAGAACCAGAGAUGCUAUGUGCACAAUUUUCUCUUAAAAUGAAGAGAUGAUAAAGCAUUUUGUGAAUUUUUGGCUUUUCUUGUCUUCAUGGUAGACCAAAUGAAAGUGACUUGUACAUUACUGCAAAAGAUUUUAUCUUCUUUUCUAUUAUUAGAACAAUUGAUAACAAAUUAAUGGAAUUUGUAUAACCCAAAAAUCGUACCUCUGACUUAGCGAUGUGCAUUAAGCCCUUUUCUUAAUUUAUUGUAUUUUAUUUUUCUUUUUCAAAGGCCAAUGAUUAGUUUAGUAUUAGCUAAACUCCAGUCUUCGCUAAUGACUUGCAGCUAUAAAACUGGUCAAAAUUAGCUGUAACAAUUAUUUUUUGAUCAGAUGUUUAAUGUGGUUAAAUGUUCAUGUUCAUUGAUACUCAAAAAUCUAAUUUCUGGGUCAAUGUGAUUUUUAUUGAUUUCUCAUAAUGUGGGCAUUUGUUUAUUUUCUGAUGAUAUGAAUCACCCUUAUUUUUCUUUU